UAGGGAAUCUUCGGCAAUGGACGGAAGUCUGACCGAGCAACGCCGCGUGAGUGAAGAAGGUUUUCGGAUCGUAAGGCUCUGUUGUAAGAGAAGAACGAGUGUGAGAGUGGAAAGUUCACACUGUGACGGUAUCUUACCAGAAAGGGACGGCUAACUACGUGCCAGCAGCCGCGGUAAUACGUAGGUCCCGAGCGUUGUCCGGAUUUAUUGGGCGUAAAGCGAGCGCAGGCGGUUAGAUAAGUCUGAAGUUAAAGGCUGUGGCUUAACCAUAGUACGCUUUGGAAACUGUUUAACUUGAGUGCAAGAGGGGAGAGUGGAAUUCCAUGUGUAGCGGUGAAAUGCGUAGAUAUAUGGAGGAACACCGGUGGCGAAAGCGGCUCUCUGGCUUGUAACUGACGCUGAGGCUCGAAAGCGUGGGGAGCAAACAGGAUUAGAUACCCUGGUAGUCCACGCCGUAAACGAUGAGUGCUAGGUGUUAGACCCUUUCCGGGGUUUAGUGCCGCAGCUAACGCAUUAAGCACUCCGCCUGGGGAGUACGACCGCAAGGUUG
rnacentral:rRNA from 1 species